rnacentral:rRNA from 1 species
AGUGAACGCUGGCGGUAGGCCUAACACAUGCAAGUCGAACGGCAGCACAGUAAGAGCUUGCUCUUACGGGUGGCGAGUGGCGGACGGGUGAGGAAUACAUCGGAAUCUACUUUUUCGUGGGGGAUAACGUAGGGAAACUUACGCUAAUACCGCAUACGACCUACGGGUGAAAGCAGGGGAUCUUCGGACCUUGCGCGAUUGAAUGAGACGAUGUCGGAUUAGCUAGUUGGCGGGGUAAAGGCCCACCAAGGCGACGAUCCGUAGCUGGUCUGAGAGGAUGAUCAGCCACACUGGAACCGAGACACGGUCCAGACUCCUACGGGAGGCAGCAGUGGGGAAUAUUGGACAAAGGGCGCAAGCCUGAUCCAGCCAUACCGCGUGGGUGAAGAAGGCCUUCGGGUUGUAAAGCCCUUUUGUUGGGAAAGAAAAGCAGCAGGUUAAUACCCCGCUGUUCUGACGGUACCCAAAGAAUAAGCACCGGCUAACUUCGUG